rnacentral:tRNA from 2 species
GGAAUUAUAGCUCAGCUGGUUAGAGCAUCACGUUCACAUCGUGGGGGUCGGGGGUUCGAAUCCCUCUAAUUCCACCA